CCAUUCCUGCCUGAACAAAGCAGUACAGCUCCAUCUUCUGCUGAUGAGGGAUUACCUUUUAUCUCCAGAACUGGAAAGACAAGUGACAUGACUAAAAUAAAGGGAUGGAGAAACAAGUUUACAAAGAGCCAUGAAACAUCAGCUUCUAAUUGUAAUGAAUCUCCAAAGAACCUGUCUGCCUUCUGCAGCAACAUGUUGGAUGAGUACUUGGAAAGUGAAGCUCAGCAAAUCAGUGAUCGAGCUGCUGCCUUCUCCUUGAACCUGGAGGACUCUGUGUCCUAUCAGCUGCCAGCCAAGAGUUCAAGCUACGUAAAGACCCUGGAUAGCGUACUCAAGCAUCGAAACGGCGCAUUCAAAAUCCCAGAAAGGCCUUGCAGACCGUGCCCCCUUUCUCGCAAACCCCUACUUUAUUCGUCUCUGAGGUCACAGGCUUCCCAUCUGAGCAGCCCCCAACGACAAAAUCCAGCUGAGCCUCAGUCUAGAUCUUCAGUCACGCACCCGGACUCCUCCUCUGGAUGUAGUUACAACAGCUACACUUCACAAAGGUGCGUUUGUUUCUGAUUUAU